rnacentral:rRNA from 1 species
AUUGAACGCUGGCGGCAGGCCUAACACAUGCAAGUCGAGCGAGCGGCGGACGGGUGAGUAAUGUAUGGGGACUGCCCGAUAGAGGGGGAUAACUACUGGAAACGGUAGCUAAUACCGCAUACUAUCGGAUAACCCAUAUGGGAUUAGCUAGUAGGUGAGGUAAUGGCUCACCUAGGCGACGAUCCCUAGCUGGUCUGAGAGGAUGAUCAGCCACACUGGGACGAAGAACAGGCCCAGACUCCGACGGAGGCAGCAGUGGGGAAAAUUGCCCAAGGAGCGCAAGCCUGAUGCAGCCAUGCCGCGUGUAUGAAGAAGGCACUAGAGUUGUAAAGUACUGUCAGUCGGGAGGCGUUACCGACAGAAUAAGCACCGGCUAACUACGUGCCAGGAGCCGCGGUAAUUC